CCAAUGAGAGUUCAGCAUACAUCCACGUCAAGCCUUCCUUUCCUCUGAUGGGCUUGAACCGAAAUUCGAGUCUGAGCUCAUCUCACGAUCAUUUCCUCUUUCUGCGAUGAACAAACCCUAUCUUCGUUAACAAUUGUCGAUUGGGUUCAUUUCACCUCUUCGCUUCCCUUCUGUAACGUUAAAAUUGUGACUCAUAAAGCUUUAUCAUUUAGUGCAAUCACUAUACAAUCUAUCUCUCCACUUCGAAUUUGCUGAGGAGAAGAAGAAAUAUGACGUAUAAUCUAUCUCUCCCCUGUCAUCCCAGUGUCAUCAACUCUGGAUCAAGCGCUAAAUCUCUGUCGUCAAAUCUCUGACAAAUCUGGAGAGAUUACGAGUCUCAUAAUUCAACUGUCCAGCGAGAUAUGGGACGGAAGCGAGUCGUUGAGUCCAUUGGAGGAAAUAUCUAAGAAUUUGCAUCUGCAGUGUUUUUAAUUUUCCUGGUCGAUCUUUUAUCUGAAAUUCUAAUCACUGGAUUUUCAAAUCAUUAGGAGGGACAUCCAAGAAGGAGCAAGCGAAAAAGAAUUUGUGGGGAAAUGUAAAAACGAAGACAGACAAGAAGUUACUAUUGUACAUGUUGUCUGCAACAAGUUCAACCGUAUCACCAUUGUUAAAGGAGUUGGAACUUUUUGGUCAAAAGAAAUUUACUGCCAGUGCCUAACUCCUUUCAUAUUUUUAGUGACGACUGUAAUCACAAAACUACUUGGUGGUGAUUACAUGAAGCAGAGGUCCGCCAAAGUAGAUUCACAGCUGUAGAUAAACCACUGAAAACGACCUGCUGACCAUCGGUUGUAAAAUAAAGGCCAACAGAGGCUCUAAUUCGUUAAUGUGUCCAAAAUUUGGCAAGGGUUGCGUUGCCGGAGUUGCCAAGUUCCCUUUGGUAAAGUUGUGAGAUGUCUGAGCUGUUUGGUUGGCUUUACUGUUGCACAAACCCAACAAGGAGUUCAGAUUGUCUCAUGUGAUGCAGCUUAUUUUGGUUCUAGAGAGUGGUUGUGUUUAGUUAUUUGACCUGUAAAAGACUGAGAUGUGUUGUCUGUUGGUGCUGAAACAUUCACUUUUUAGAAGUAGCUCAAUCUUCUUAACGCAUCAGAUACGUUCCUCCGUGGGACAAAGGGCUAAGCCUAAUCCAGAUAAAGAAGAACAAAGUCACUUCUUCCAUGCACUCUUUAGUGGUACAAAAUUCUUCGGAUACAGCACAAGCGUACCAGUUUGGCGCUGAGACAGCUGACCUCCCUGUGCAAGAAGAAGAAAGGUGACAAUUUGAUUUGAUGUUCAAUAACAUGUUUACAGAGAAGUGGGACCUUUUAAGUUUACUCCCAAACAGAACAAACAAGAAAGCAUUUCUCAACUGAUAGAGCAGAUCAUGGAACUCGAAAACCUUGAAGAGAAAUGUAAACUUCAGGCUGAAGCAAAAGAUGAGUCAGAGAGAAUUCUCAGCUCUCAACCUUAAACCUCUAUAUCAACAGAAAAAAACUGGUGAGGAAAUCAUUAUCAUCAAUCAUCACAACAUAGCUCAUCCUCAUGGUAAGCAAAUCAUCUUACGGCGACAUAUGUAUGGCCUUAAUAAUGUCUGCUGCGGAACUGAAACCUAGAUUCUUCAAUCUUCAGUGACAUAAACCUGUGGAAUGUUGAGUUUAUGACGAUAUACAUGCAUGGUAUUAUAGAACCACAGGUUUUAAAAAGCGUGCCUUUAGGUUGCUAAGGUGUAUUAGAACCUAUCUCUCUCUCUUUCUGGGAAGACCAACAGAGCUUGAUGCUUUGAUGUAAUCAUAACACGAGAACUCGAGAAUGUUUGCUGAUUUCUUAAAGCUUGUGUGUUUAGCAUGCUUAAGUUUUUUGUUGGACUAAUUGUAUUUUAUUUACGAGCUGAUUUCUUCUACUA